rnacentral:rRNA from 1 species
CCUACGGGAGGCAGCAGUGAGGAAUAUUGGUCAAUGGGCGGGAGCCUGAACCAGCCAAGUCGCGUGAGGGAAGACGGUCCUAUGGAUUGUAAACCUCUUUAGGCGGGGAGCAAUGCCGGGCACGUGUGCCCGGAGGGAGAGUACCCGCAGAAUAAGCAUCGGCUAACUCCGUGCCAGCAGCCGCGGUAAUACGGAGGAUGCGCGCGGUAUCCUGAUUUAUGGGGUUUAAAGGGUGCGUAGGCGGAUUUUUAAGUCAGCGGUAAAAUGUCCGGGCUCAACCCGGGCCGGCCGUUGAAACUGGGGAUCUUGAGUGGGCGAGAAGUAUGCGGAAUGCGUGGUGUAGCGGUGAAAUGCAUAGAGAUCACGCAGAACUCCGAUUGCGAAGGCAGCAUACCGGCGCCCGACUGACGCUGAGGCACGAAAGCGUGGGGAUCGAACAGGAUUAGAUACCCGGGUAGUC